rnacentral:rRNA from 1 species
CACCGCGGUUAUACGAGAGGCCCAAGUUGAUGGAUGCCGGCGUAAAAUGUGGUUAAUUUACAUUGUUGCACUAAAGCAAAACACCUUCUAAGCUGUUAUAUGCUCUCGAAGACAGGAAGCCCUUUUACGAAAGUAGCUUUAAAUAGUAUAACCCACGAAAGCUAGGGAA